GACGAACGCUGGCGGCGUGCUUAACACAUGCAAGUCGAACGGAAAGGCCCUGCUUGCAGGGUCCUCGAGUGGCGAACGGGUGAGUAACACGUGGGUGAUCUGCCCUGCACUUCGGGAUAAGCCUGGGAAACUGGGUCUAAUACCGGAUAGGAGCCAUUUUUAGUGUGAUGGUUGGAAAGUUUUUUUCGGUGUAGGAUGAGCUCGCGGCCUAUCAGCUUGUUGGUGGGGUAAUGGCCUACCAAGGCGGCGACGGGUAGCCGGCCUGAGAGGGUGGACGGCCACAUUGGGACUGAGAUACGGCCCAGACUCCUACGGGAGGCAGCAGUGGGGAAUAUUGCACAAGGGGCGCAAGCCUGAUGCAGCGACGCCGCGUGGGGGAUGACGGCCUUCGGGUUGUAAACUCCUUUCGCUAGGGACGAAGCUUUUUGUGACGGUACCUAGAUAAGAAGCACCGGCUAACUACGUG
rnacentral:rRNA from 1 species